AUCCAACGUGGCUGAGCUGACAUGGCACGCCAUGUGGCAAAUGGUAUGGCAUGGCACAACCAUUGACAUGAGAGCCACAUAGGCUUUGACGUGGCAUCUGACAUUUUUAGUGGGCCGAUCCCUUCAUAUCAGCCCAUUAUUUCUGGCAUGCGGCAUUUCGAAUCUAGCCCUUUUACAACAAAUUAAGCAUAGUUGUUAUUGGACCAUUGACAUUUUCUUCCUUUUUUAGGUUUUCUACAAAUAGUACGCUCGUCUAGGCAAUCUCUUGCCUCUUUUCUUUUAACUGUGAGCAAAAUGUAACAACAUAAAAAUGAGAGUAAUUGAUUGCUCCAGCAUUUCAUUCACCUACAACCAUCACAUAACAUUAGAACAUGUAACAUUAGAUUACAAAUGAUACAUGCAAUACAUGCUGAUCACAACACGAUCAAACCACCACAUGUCACCUACCCCACGUACGAAUUAGAAUAACUUGAUCCUAACUGAAAUUUCAUGCGCGAGCUGCUUAUGAUUAACCUAGGACUUGUUGUGUUCUACACCAAGGCUUUUAUCUUCAGAACUGCAACAACAAAAUACAAGUAAUAACUAGCAAGUGGAAACACAUAUACUACCAUUUGUCUUAAGAUUGAACAACAUACCAUCAUGUGCUCCGUUUUAAUACAUAAAAUAAAAACAUGUAAGGCAGAGCAUGAAGUGCCUCUGUUUUAAUAUAUCAAAUAAAAACAUGUAAAUCAUUUGUAAGAAUCCAAAUAAAUACACACUUUGCCAAGAUUAUUCCCAAAUAAACCACACUUUGUGCAAGCACACUGGUAUGAACAUAAACAUUUAACAUGGCGUCUAUGCAAUGUGCCACGAAUAUUGCACAUCAUGUGGCAUUAAUACGAAGGUGACAGGGAUAGCAUGUGGCAUCAAUACGAAGAUGACAUGGAUAGCAUGCAGGAAUGAAAAUUGAACAUCUGAUGAGACUAAAGUCUAAAACAAAGAUGCAGGGUACGUACUAAACAAAGUGGCAAACACAUGAAACACAACACACGAUGUCAAAACGAGAAUUUGGUGGUCACUAACAAAGUAAAUGUACCAAAGGCAUUAAUAAACAUAGAGCAAAAGAAAUAACUGAAGAUUAAACGACCUAUAUCAUGUACAUAAUACCACCAUAUAUCACAAAAAUCCAAAUCCAUAGAAACAUCAUAUGAACAUAUACACAAUAGUUAACCACAAGUCCACAACUACAAUACCAGCAGCCAUGAAUAAUAGCAUCCCAAAACACCAUGGCCUAAGAAUCAUAUAGUAUAGGAGUUGAACAAAUCAAAGACUCACUCGAUGGAAAGAUCAAAGACUUGAUUGGUGGAUAGAUUGAAGUCUUCACCUUUUGGGAACAAGAUGUUCACCUCGCAUGAAUUGGCAGUACAUAUAUAAGCAUCACACAAACAUCUAUAAAUCAGAUUAUGCAUGUAACUUGUUUUCAAUUACUUAUAAUUUAACAUGUUAAUAGAGAAGUUGCAGGAGGAACUGAAGAAAUUUUUGGAUUUGUCUAGUACAAAUCCAGUAAAAGCAUAAAAUCAGGAAAAGAAAUGCAUGUCCUUGUAAGAUUUAUCCCAGUAAUAGCUAUAGUGCAUAAUAUCACCAUGACUAUCCAUGGGAUUUUUAUGGAAGCAUAGGGUCAGCCUUUCUGACAAAAUUAGAAUAGUAGAACUUUUCAUGAAAGCACUACUGAUUAUCAAUGUCCCUUUUAUUUUCUAUCCUAGCAAAAAAAAUUGGUAGGUGUUUGCAAAGGAUAAACAUUUGUAAUGAUUUUCUAUUUCAAGUUUUAUGUGUGAACCAUAUAAAUUACUAUAUUCCAUGGAUCAUUGAUACACAACAAGCAUAUGAUCUAAUAACUUCGAGUGAAAUCACAUACAACAAGCAUAUAGAUAACACAUAGUCCACAACUGAACUGUUAUACUCUACUAUAGAUCUACAAUAAAACAAGCCUAUGCUCUAGUCUCACUACAAACUCUCGAAACACUUCAAACUAAUGCAACUACGACAUCAAUCUAUAAUUACACAAUAUGUACUGUACAUUGAUAUCCCACACCAUACCAUGUCAACCUUUUAAUGGUGUCGGUGCAAGAAUAAAGAACGUUAGCACCAGCACAUUUUUUACAGAAAAUAUCUCAGUUUACAGAAUGUAUAACAUUUCAGAAAGAAAAGACAUUCAACAAAGGCAUGCCAUUAAGCUCCAACACUACUUAACAGGUACUAAUGAUGAAAGCAUACAAGUAUCAUUUACCAAAAUAGUACAUGCUUAUUUAUAACCAGGGUAGUGUUGGGGGAAGUCGACAUAGGCAAAUAUAUAUCUCCUAGUAAAAGUCAUCGAUGGGAGCAACAGUAGUAGGGUAAAGGACGUUGAGGGUUUCAGUCACCAUAAGUAACGAGGGAUGCCUUUUUUAUAUUAGCAACCAUCAAUAGCUAAGCCUUGUUUCUUAACUUUAAGCACUGGUAACCUACAUAUCGAACAGAAUAACCAGCUUGUACCGGAAUCAGUGUGUAGAAAAUUGUUAAAAAAUGUGUGUUUGCAACUCAGUAUAAGAUAUAGAUGGUGUGUUAGUAGUGGUUGACAAGAUAGGAUUUCAAAGAAGCGAGUGACAACUGCUCCAUGCUUUGCUAAUUAGGAAGUGAUUACAUUCAAAGUUUGCAUGCAUGGUCGUUUCUGGAGAUUUACCUGUGGAUUCUCAGAAAGACAACUGAAGUGAGUCAAUCCAUCAAGGCUAACCUGCAAUCAAUGCAAGAACCAGAUUUAUAGUUGUGCCUGAGUAGCAUUGUUUCAGUAAAAGCACCUACACAGGUGUAACUUAGUUGCAUAAAAUAUUGAUUGCAGGAAAAUAGUAACAUUUCUAAUCCUGCAAUCCCCGAAUAAUAUGUUGAAGUGCUACUGGUGGCACGCUGCUGAAAAAGGUCAACAAUACCAUUAUUAUUCAAGAAAAUAGAGAAAUCGAUGACACUCUUUGAAGUCUAAUCUACAUGACAUGAGGAGUCUAUGAAUGCAAAAAUCUGAAUGAAGUAUACUCUGCAAUGUCAUCUAAAAUAUGAAGAGGAUUGUAAUAUUGACAUAUUUGCAAAUCUGCAGCCCAACAAUAACAUACAACAUAGAACUGCAUUACAAUUUGAAAGCACACACAUAACCUGAAAAUGACUCAAAAGAGCAUACUAUGUACGCUCAGUUGUUCAGCCAAUUCUUUUUGCCGGUGAUCACUAAUUUAUUUACUAUCAACAAAAAACAUUGGUCAUAGUAAAGUAAAAUUAAGCAUACAAGAGGGGAAAAUUAAUAUAUGAACACAUCAUUAAUGGAUACAAUUAGGCUAGUUGCUAAGUUGUUGUCCGAUGUUAAAGUAUCAUAUCUUAUUUACCUAGGGGGAGUUACAUAAAAUAAGUAUCUUUGGUAUUGAAUUCAUGGUUAAAACAAUCAGAAAUUUAUGUCAUUCACAACAGAUUUGGAGAUGGCGAAAAUGAAUGAUCAAGACCUUAUUUCACGGGCAUAACACCACAUUUAAUAAUAUUUAUAUCAAAAAUCCAAAAUAGAUGUAUAUUCUGCAAUGGGAAUUAAUGUUGUACAACGAGUCAAAGUAGCAAACCUUUGUUUAUACAAUCCAAAACAGAUUAAGUACAUAACUAGUAUGCUGGUGGCGUGUAGACAUAUAAUUACUAGUUUGGUCACUUUCCUUUGGUUUAUAUAGGUAUAUAUUGCUAGGAAUCCGCUAGUGCAUGAUCAUACACCACCACAUCAAACACAUCACCAUGCCACACCCGUAAGAACGCUCACCACAAGGAAGUAAGAAGAGAGCAGGGGAGUCAAAAGUACUCACAUGCCAAAUUCAACCGAGAACGUUGGAUCAGCAGAAUUUGGAUUGUGUGGUGGAGACCCUGUAGUCUUGGUAAGUCAGUGUGGCGACUUCGCUAGCAGCGGUGCAACAUCAUGGUUUUCGUGCAUCGGACUAGUUCUCCCACCACCACAUCUAGUUCGGGACAAACUGCCAUGCAUGCAUACACGAGGACACGGGGAACCAGAUUGGUAAAUCAGAUUAAUGGAUAUUAUAAUAUACUAAGAGAGAGGGGUAAAACUUUGGCCAUUAGCGACCAGAUCUGGCCGAGCCAUGUUCGGGAAGGAGAUAGUAGUGCGUCGCGUUGUACCACUGUUCUCCACUCGAACCUGACCGCGACGACGUCCUGCGCUGCGAAUUGCCCAAGACGCGCCCUAUCGUCGACCUGUAGGGCAAAGACUUAACGUCAUCGACAUGUGGUGGAGGACCUAGGCGCCGCCGCGUGAUGACAUGGCUGCCCCGUGAACGCCUGGUAGGUCCACUUGAGGCGCGGUUGCCGGCAGCGACAAUCAACAUGCACGUCCUCGAUGCAGUGGAUUAGAUCUGGGAGACAUGAAUAUUUGAGAUCAAGCGAGAGGGGCUGGACAAGAGGAGGUCAAUGAGUACGCACCAUGAGCGAGGUACCUUUGACGCUGAUGCAGGUGCACGUUCGAUCUGCGUUCGCAACCGUCGUAGCCAUGAACCGCAUACUUAGCUCUUGCUACACCAAUCGGGAGAACAGGAGAGGACAGCAGGGCAACAAACUUGUUGCUCGCUCCUGCAGGAGGUAGGGAUGUGGAAGGGGAUGAAUGAGUCGUUGAUUGGGGCGAUGGAAGAGUGGUAGGGGCGGCGGCGCGAUGGAGGAGAGAAAGGAAGAGUGCGGCGGCGGGAUGGAGGAGGAUGUGGAUGUGCCUAGGGUUAGGGAUCGAAAAGAUAAUGGAUAAUGGGUUUGCUUAUUGGGCUUUUCCUCCAGAACGCGAAGUGAAAAUAUUAUGCCAAGAUUGGAGGUAAAAAGUGCGGGCGUUC
rnacentral:lncRNA from 1 species